ACUCCCUGGACUGCGACUUGACUGUGAGCCGAGAGGAGGUGGCCACUCAACGCUGAGGUCACACGGCUCCCUUCCUUAUGCAGGAAAGUCAAGCCAAGAGUCCCUGAAUGCUGCUAAGGAGACACACUGCU